rnacentral:rRNA from 1 species
GAUGAACGCUGGCGGCGCGCCUAACACAUGCAAGUCGAACGAGAGAUGAAGAGCUUGCUCUUCAAAUCGAGUGGCGAACGGGUGAGUAACGCGUGAGGAACCUGCCUCAAAGAGGGGGACAACAGUUGGAAACGACUGCUAAUACCGCAUAAGCCCACGGCUCGGCAUCGAGCAGAGGGAAAAGGAGCAAUCCGCUUUGAGAUGGCCUCGCGUCCGAUUAGCUAGUUGGUGAGGUAACGGCCCACCAAGGCGACGAUCGGUAGCCGGACUGAGAGGUUGAACGGCCACAUUGGGACUGAGACACGGCCCAGACUCCUACGGGAGGCAGCAGUGGGGAAUAUUGCACAAUGGGGGAAACCCUGAUGCAGCGACGCCGCGUGGAGGAAGAAGGUCUUCGGGAUUGUAAACUCCUGUUGUUGAGGAAGAUAAUGACGGUACUCAACAAGGAAGUGACGGCUAACUACGUGCCAGCAGCCGCGGU